rnacentral:rRNA from 1 species
GACGAACGCUGGCGGCGUGCUUAACACAUGCAAGUCGAACGGAAAGGCCCUGCUUUUGUGGGGUGCUCGAGUGCGAACGGGUGAGUAACACGUGGGUGACCUGCCCCGCACUUCGGGAUAAGCCUGGGAAACUGGGUCUAAUACCGGAUAGGACCGCACCGUGAGGGUGUGGUGGAAAGUUUUUCGGUGUGGGAUGGGCCCGCGGCCUAUCAGCUUGUUGGUGGGGUAAUGGCCUACCAAGGCGGCGACGGGUAGCCGGCCUGAGAGGGUGGACGGCCACAUUGGGACUGAGACACGGCCCAGACUCCUACGGGAGGCAGCAGUGGGGAAUAUUGCACAAUGGGCGGAAGCCUGAUGCAGCGACGCCGCGUGGGGGAUGACGGCCUUCGGGUUGUAAACUCCUUUCACCAUCGACGAAGGUUUUCUGACGGUAGAUGGAGAAGAAGCACCGGCUAACUACGUG